AACUCAGCUCUGGAAAAAACCUGUCAACAUUUAUGCAGGCAAAUUGACUUGGGGUCUCACACCCGCUUUAUCUUAAUUGUGAUAUCAACUGUCCUUAGUUAGGGAUUACCUUAAUGGGUGCAUCCAUUACAUUCAUGAACAUGAGGGAAAACAGAGGUUAAUGUAAAUUAUUGACACCUCACAGCAAUGCAAUUACAGUACAACUUAAUUACAGCUUUUGUCAGGCAAAUGACACAAUUGGUAAAUGCAGUCGGUAACCUAAAGCUAAAUAAAGCUCCACCCCAACCUUUUGCACACCCUUUACAACUUCUCACAUUCUAUAUUACUUUUUUGUCACAUAGGUAUGACAGUUACACACACAAAAAAAACCAAAACAAAACAAAAAAAAAAUACAAGGAGUGAAACCAUCAGUGCAAUGUGGGUCUGGCAAGCACUCUAGGAUAAAGUGUAAGAAUGUGUCUGCUCUGUGUGGCUUGUGCAGCUGUGACAGCAGAAAGCAGUCACAGGCAUUGUGUGUCAAGCAACAACAUGACAGAAAAAGCCCAUCUCCCAGCUUUACCUUUCUAUAAGCAGAUUUCCAGUAAUGAUGAAAAAAAUACAUGCCCAUAUUGGGACUGAGUCCAAACUGAAAGCUGGGUGGUAACUGUACAUUCUUGGACUAUGUUUUAUAUGAUUAGGGAUGGGUUAGAGCAAUUUCACUGGCUGUGAACCUACUCACAAAUUUGGAGUCCUAUUUAAUUGUUUACAUGUGUCUUAGAGAACAUUAGCAGUCCUGCUUGCUAUGUUAGGAAUAAUAAUUACUCCAGUACUGUACAUGUGAAAACCAACAUUAGUACAUUCACUGAAAUAAACAUAACAGCAAUUUGUCUCUCUCUCUCUCAAAAAUACAUGAAUUCACAGGGUGUGCUGAGUACCUCCACAUAUUAUGACCCCAAGCCAGUGGAACAUGGACUCGGUUAAAUAUUUGAGGUUUUAUAUAUUAUUUAAAAAACAAAACACCACUUUUUCCCAAGCGAUACACAUGUGUGAGGCUUAAUCCAGAUAAGUUCGAGUCAUUGUCAGGGUGAUAAGCUUGUGGUGCUGACUUCUUUAUGUACCCAUUCUGACAUGUGUAUAGUGUGCAGUGUAUUCACAUGGCCUCUUUUACCACCACCCACAGAUUCAUGAGAAAAACAAGUUACAUGCCGAAAGCUGCCAUCAUUGGCUGCCCACACAUGGGCAAAAAAAAAAGGAGGGUGUGGGGGACAAUGUGAAGGUGUUGCUGGCUGACGCCGCUGUAAGCCACUGUGGCUCAGGUGAGGCGGGUGCUCCUUUCAGGUCCAUCAUCUGCACUCUUCCCAUCAUACUCAUGAGAAACUCCCAGCGUGCCUUCAGGGCCAUCUCUCGCCAGUAACAGGUAAGCCUGUUGACACAUGUCAAAUCCCUCUUCUUUCUCCUGUGUGUGUGUGUGUGUGUGUGUGUGUGUGUGUGUGUGUGUGUGUGUGUGUGUGUGUUUUUUGUUCCCCUCCUCUCCUCAAAGUUUUCGUGAACAUCGUGCAACGCCCUGUCUAAACCGCAGACAUCAGAAAAACCGCCCGAGCGAAGCCAGGACUUGUUUGAUUGCGCUGCCUCGCAACCUGGGCUUGCACACACACCCACCGCUUCACCUCAGAAGAACGCACACACACACCUCAACCGACGUCAACAAUGCCACAUGUCCUUCACCUAACAAUCCCUGAGGCCUGAUCCGGCCUGGGCCAAAGCCAUAGCUAGAAAAAAAAUGGUAAGAUGCUGAUGGAUAAAGGAGCUUGUGGAUUCCUGGGACAGGUGUCGGAUGCAGGGACUAUUUGAUCAUUUUACAUGUGUAGAGCGAGCAGGAAAAUGGAGAAAGCCAAGGUGGCAAAGGUUUGAUGUGCUCUGUCAUCAUGAAAAAUAAAAAUCAAGGCACAGCACCAAAAUGCGACUUGUACAAAGGAUUUUAAGAAUUACACAGUAAGGUAAAUAAAAUAAACAUAAUCAACAUACACCAUCUUCAAAAACAGUUAUUCUAAUAAGAUGCUCUCAAUUGAAUUUGAUUUGCAAAGACUGGCAUAAUUCUUGGGAAAUUUUUCAAUUUCAAAUGGCUAUUAUUUUGUAACGAUAUAGUGAGCGAGUACAAGAUCUGUUCCAGGAUGAAAAUGCUAGCACUGCAAAAGCCAAGCAAAAGAAAACUCAAUCGGUGAUUAACAUGACUGCUUGGGCAGAGGAUUAUAAAUUCUAGUACUGCCUAGUACUGGAUAAAGGACAUCUUCCCUGAAGGCACCAGUUGUUCCAGUCUAGGCAGCACUGCAUCAGAUACUUAUGUGCAAGUUACCUAUGCCAUGGGUACUGACACCCCCCCAUACCAUGACAGAUGCUGGCUAUUGGAUCUGAAGCUUGGGUGGUCCUUUUCCUCUUUGGUCCGGAGAACACGAUGGCUGUUUUGUCCAAUAACUAGGUGAAAUGUUGUCUCGUCGGGCCACAAAACAUGAUUCCACUGUACUACUACUGUCCAUCUCAGAUGAGACCAAGCCCAGAGAAGUCUUCUGGACAGUGUUGAUGUAUGGCUUCACUUAACUUGCAUCUGUGGAUGUAGCGGUGAAUGGUAUUGACUGACAAAGGUUUCCCAAAGUAUUCCGGAGCCCAUGUCAAGAUAUCCAUUACAGACUCAUGACGGUUUUUAAGACAGUGGCAUCUGAGGGAUUGGAGAUCCCACGCAUUCAGAAGUGGUUUUUGGCCUUGCAAUAUACACACCGAGAUUUGACCAGAUUCCUUGAAUCUUUAAUUAUAUUGUGCACUGUAGAAGGUGAAAUGCCCCAAACCCUAUCGAUUUGUCUUUGGAGAAUGUUGUUAUUAAAGUUGUUAUUUGAUGAUACAUCUGUUGGCAGACUGGUGAACCUUGACCCAUCCUUGCUCUUAAAGGACUAGGACUUUUUUGGAGGCUCUUUAUAUACUAUGAUUAGAUGAUAGCCUCACCUGCUUCACAUCACCUCCUUAUUUCAACUUGUCACACUGCUAUUAGUCCUAAAUUGCCCCAGUCUUUUUUGGAACAUGUUGUGUGCAUCAAUUUCAAAAUAAACAUUUACCUUCAAAAAGUUAUGCAGUUGAUUAGGUAAAACAUCAAAUACCUUGUCUUUAUAUGAUUUUUGUUUAAUUACAAGUCAAAGUACAUUUACAAUUCACUCCUCUUUGUUUUUAUUAGCAUUUUCCAUAUUUUCUCACUUUUUCAGAAUUGAGGUUAUACUAUUUGUAUUUGUAUUUUUUUGUCACACUGAAUAUUGACUUUGUUUCAUUUACUACUGUUUACUGUUCUUUAUGGUAUUUUUUUAAUGUAGAAACAUUUAAUUUCAUUAUUUUGAAAGCAUCUUUGCCUUACACCAUUUAUUUGCAUGUGCCUAAAUCAUUUGCACAGUACUGUAGGUAAGUGUUACGAAAGGGUUACACAACUCUUCGCAAUAACUCCUCUGCUUCAAAGGUGCAGCUGGGUCAUAUGUUUUGUAAAUCUAACAGAUGUCUUGAUGAAUACCUCAAAGAAGGUUUCCAAAACAUAUAUACAAUUCCAUGCAUGAAAAACACUUUAAUGCAUUGAAAAAAUCCUGGAUCCCCAUUCCACCAUCCUGAUACCACCACUGCAGCCCUCACCACAACUGAGGAACAACAGAAACAACACUGUACCUCUAUUCGAUUAUUUUAAAGACAUGUAUAUUAUCAGAACACAUUCUGAUGGAGGGUUUGGGUGAUGACAGGUGUCGUCUGGCAACAAAUAAACAGCAUUGUUACAUGAGAAAGAACAAUGGUUGCACAGAAACACUGCAUGAAUUGAGUGUAAUAUAUGUUAGUAGACAAGAAUGUCUACACAAAACAUGAUGUGCCAGUGCUGUUGCUUCUGGCAAUCACCUGUGCAAGCAACCACAACUGGCAAUACAAACUGGCCAAAACCUUUAAGCACAGCAAGGGCAGCUCCUGGUGGCAAUUUCAACAACACUUUUUAUGAUCUUUGACUUUGCUCAGCAAUGUCCGCCAUUGUCUUAUCAUACAUUGAGAAACAAGAUAGAACAAAUGGUGCUUUUGAUGGAGGACAAAUGAAUGUAAAUGUUUUGGUGAAAACACUGAGCAAGUCCAUUAAGCGUCAAGGCGAGGAUUUGCUUGUAAGUUGCUUGGAAUGAAUACAUGUAAACAUGCUCUAGUCCCACAGAAACUUCAACCAUCUAUCUCUACAUGGCCGUUCCCUUGAUAUCCCAACUGGUCCCAUCAUAACCCUGCUUCCUUCCAGCUAUAGCUCCUUCCAUCCCUCCCUGUGGGUCUGGGUAUGCACAACCUGUAAUUGUGGAGUAGCCACAGCACAUAGACUGUGAUAUAAAUAUCAAUUUCUGCUAUUCCUGUGAAAAUAAAGCAUGCUGUGAAAAAAAGAGAAAGAAUGGCUCUUUUUUCAUGUCCUAUUUCAGGUUAUUCUCAGAGCCCGGCACCUACAGCAUCCUGAGCACUGCCUCUAUGAAUGUGAUGCACUGCACUAUUGUGUUUAGCUCUUAAGACUGUGACUUCAUGCUUUCAAAUUGCUAUUUCCAUUCUUAAACAAUGCUUCGAUAUCAGUUAUCAGAGUUAUAAGAGGCUCCUAGACACAGGAGAUUAAAGAAUAUAUAAAAUAUUUUUAUGACAUUUUAAAUUCAUCUGAAAUACUAAGUAACUCUUUUGAGUGACCAAAUGAUGAAAAAAAUGUUUCUAAUA